AUCUCAUUAGCUCAAUGGCAGAGCAUAAUACUUCUAAUAUUACAAUCCUAGUUCGAUCCUAGGAUGAGAUU
rnacentral:tRNA from 1 species